rnacentral:lncRNA from 1 species
AGAGAGAGAAAUGACUUCAGGAGGUGCUCAAUUGUAUUUCAAAAGGACAUCAAAAAGUACAAUAAUUACGAUGAUCUCUAAUUCUCAUAUGAAAGACGUAUCAUGUUACAGUGGACAUUUUACAACUCUGUUAUAGCUCACACAGUGCACACUAGCCCUUUUUUUUUAGUGUACUCACUCUUAUUGGACACACAUAGGUUUAGAACUGGAUGCAGGUUCCAUGCUACCCUCAAUAUUCCCAUGUAAAGUGUGCAUCUAAUCGGAAACAAGUGUGAAAUAAUGCAAAUGGUAAAGGAAACAAUUGAAG